CCGUGGUCUGACGCGAGUCAGGCUGUAUCUACUGAAUGUACGGGAUCAUCUUUUCUCAUCGCGAUAUAUUUUAUAUUGCAAUAAGAAGACUUGGAUCGAUUAUUCUGGAAAAAUAUAAUUUCAUUUUCUCCAUGUUAAAUUCUCCACCAUGCAACAUGGCAUAGUCAAGCCGGUACAAUUCUAACGAAACAUUCGUGAUAAAGGGGAGAAUUUAAUUACGAGCUUGCGAGAUCUACAAUGUUCGCGUUGGAAACACUACGGCAUCGCGCCGCUCCGGUUGCAGUUUUAAACUAAAAGUGAAAAACUCAAGGCACGGAAAUGUAAACCGGUGUGCAACCAACGACUAUGGCACAAUAAAAGAAUACCGUAGCCAGGCAAUAAUCUGUUAAGCACGAACACGCGAGACACGUGUGUGAAAGUAUCGUGGAAAAUUGUGCAUCCAACGUAUCGCUCCUCGACAAGAGAAUACGUCCGCAUUAUCGUUAUUGAGAGAACUUUUCGAUUUAGCGGUAUCUUGCAAACAACCAGAUUGGUUUGCAAAAGGAAUAAGCGAGCAUGCGACUUGGACCUUUGAACGAUAAAGUUAAUGGACUUCAUUUACAUUGCAUAAUUGCGACGAAAGCGGAGCCAGCACUCAAAUUAUACGCGAGGACCAACGACCAGAACCAACAGCAAAGGUGCCCUUUGAAUAUUCGAUCCUGUGCCCCUUCUCAGGAUGGCGAAGAAAUCUCAAAAGAAAAAAACAGAUCUCCAGAAACGCUUUCCGGAAUCAGCUUCAUGAACCAUCAUCAAGCACAGAAGUAGCCACACCACCGUCACACGAUUCACCGGCACCAAUCGUCCAACUGCGAUGUUAAAGCAAACAGGAAGUCACGGGUAUCAAGGCCAUGGAUUAGGAAACGAUCGAUCGUUUUGCGGAAGGCUUCUCCGCGAUCCCACGGGAGAGAAAAGUAGCGAGCAAAGCAAAGGCGCUUCGUUUCGGACGAAGCUCGGACCCUGAAGAGCCGGCGACCCGCGAGGCACGCCACAGUCCCUCUUGUUCUCUUUUUCUCUCGCUCUCUUUAUCCUUUUCUUCUUAGAGUCUCUCUGCGUUUCCUCUUCUUUCUUCUUCUCGACUUCCCUUCUGCUGGCUUCGUAGAGUUAUAGCGAUGAACCGUUCCUUGUCGCACUCUUAGCGCUCACUCGAACCCUAUUUUAAGAAUAGCUUUGUACCUUCUCUGUCUCGCUCUCCAUCCGUUUCUGCUUCGUCUUCUGCUUCACCGGCCGCGAGGAAGAUGCAACUUUGUGGGGAGAGCCUAGGGACGAGGAUAAAUCCGCAUGCGAGUACAUGCGUUUCCGCUCGGAUGGAAACGAGAUCGCGGUAUGACCUGAGUGGUCAAUAAAGAUGUCGACGUAGU